GCUUCACUUUACAUUCUUUUAUGCCAAAAUCUUGCUAUGUAACAAUAAUUUGAAUAUGUUUACUGUAAGAGCCUGAAAAUGUAAGGCUACUGGGCCCUGCAGCCUGGCCCAAGAAGCUAAGGGUACUAGGACCUCAGAAGAUGCCUCAUUUUUCCAGCUCUGAGUUCAUUUUCCAGUUCCCUUUUCUCUCUCUAAACUCAUCUCCAUUUUCUCCUUCUUGCUCUGCCUUCUCUUUACCCUUGCACUCAUUUGAACUGUUGAAAUUUCAAAUAGGUGGUGUUCUUUCGCUCACGGAGUUGAGAGCUUCCCUUCUAUCCGAUUAGAUUUCUAUUUGGACGGGUGGUUGUAGGGCACUAUUUGAGUUUUCUCUGUGAAGGCACGGUUAGGGCACUCUAGUUGACUAUAGUGCUCAACUUCAAGAUGGCGAGGAGGUUCCUUUAGAGACAGCUUUGGAAGCCGAGGACGAUGCUGCUGCCUAGUCUACCAGAACGUUAUUAGUUUGAUUGGCUAUUCUGAAAUACUAAUUCCCAUUUCAGCUUAUAUUUUAGAUCUCUUUGGCUUAUAUUCUGAAGUUACUUAGAGGAUGACUGUAAUCCUAUUUACUCUCAACUGCUUUCCUAUAUUAUGCAUGUGGACGUCUUUAUUAUAUAUGCUCUCUAUAUAAUUGGGAUGUCACAUUUAUAGAAUAAUUGUCGACAUUGUUAUUUUGUGUCAUAACUCCUACAGUAAUUAUUUCUCUUCGGCAUGCAGUAAUAAUAAUACAAAGUAA